AGUGAACGCUGGCGGUAGGCCUAACACAUGCAAGUCGAACGGCAGCACAGUAAGAGCUUGCUCUUACGGGUGGCGAGUGGCGGACGGGUGAGGAAUACGUCGGAAUCUACUUUUUCGUGGGGGAUAACGUAGGGAAACUUACGCUAAUACCGCAUACGACCUACGGGUGAAAGCAGGGGAUCUUCGGACCUUGCGCGAUUGAAUGAGCCGAUGUCGGAUUAGCUAGUUGGCGGGGUAAAGGCCCACCAAGGCGACGAUCCGUAGCUGGUCUGAGAGGAUGAUCAGCCACACUGGAACUGAGACACGGUCCAGGCUCCUACGGGAGGCAGCAGUGGGGAAUAUUGGACAAUGGGCGCAAGCCUGAUCCAGCCAUACCGCGUGGGUGAAGGAGGCCUUCGGGUUGUAAAGCCCUUUUGUUGGGAAAGAAAAGCAGCAGGUUAAUACCCCGCUGUUCUGACGGUACCCAAAGAAUAAGCACCGGCUAACUUCGUG
rnacentral:rRNA from 1 species